GUCAGAGAAUGUUCUGCUUAUGUUUUUCUCUUAGAAUUUUAUAGUUUCUGGUCUUACAUUUAGAUCUUAAUCUGAUUUGAGUUUAUUUUUUUGUAUGGUGUUAGAGAUAAGUACUCUUUGCCACAAUAACAUGUUCUCUUUUGUCCUGCUUCACUUCUGUCAACAAAAAAAUGAGGUUUUUAGAAUAUAUUUGCUUUGUGCCUCUGCUCUCUUCUACUUUACCGUAAUCAAGACAUUUGGAACACUUUUGCUUCCACUUUCACAUCCCACUCUCAUCCCGAAACAAUGAGGUUGGUAGAGAUUGUUGACAUCUGAAAGUAUGAAAAUAAUACAGCUAGAAUUUUAAAAAUCAUUUUUUUUAAUUUAAAAAAUAAUAAUCAUUUUUAGGUCUCUAUAAGGAGCAAUAUCCAACUCGUAAUAUGAAAGCUUAUCAAUCAACUUUCAGGUAUUGGAUGUUAAAUGACAUUCUAGAGAUAAAGAUUAUGGUGAAGUUGAAUUGAGACCUUUUCAAAGUCCAUGGAGGUCUAUAGCAAUGAAGGGUUCCCAUCCUCCCGAAAGAAGAAACACAUGUAUACUCAAUUUGCUAACUCUAGCAAAUUUGCCAAGUAGAAUAUUGAAUAAAAUAGAAAGAAUACCUUCCAUGAGAUAUUGAGAGAAAACAAAAGGACUGAACAUCAAAUAAAACUUAAUAUGUAACUACCCACAAAUGUGGAGCCCACAAUCACACCCACCAAGAAAUCUUAAGCAGAAGAUUUAGUCUAAAGUGGUUCUGGACCAGUUGUUUAGAGAAUAUAUGGUUAAAGGAUAUGAACAUUCAAAUUGACUUUCAACAUGGAGGAUUGCCUAUAAUCCUCCCAAUGGCUCCAGUACUCUACUUUAUUCUACCUUCAUAGAAUCACACAGAGACAGCCUAUCUUGAAAGUCAAAGAUGCAUAACAUCUUGACUAUAACCAUCAUUCUCAGCUCUUUUCUGUACUUCCAUUACUUGAAUGGCACUCUUACUCUGGAUGCAUUCAAAGUCUUUCUCUCUUCAACCAUCCAGUUAUCUCCCAAAUGAGUUGAAUGGAUAUUCUGCCUGAAUGUUCAGGGUUUUUUUGUUUGUUUUUUUUUUUUUUUUACAUCUGUGACAGAUACAUGUUUUAAUUCAUAUUAUCAUAUAAAAUAAAGUCAUCAUACUAUAAAUUUUGGGCUAUAUGAAACUUUUAGUAUUUUAUUCAUUUUCAUAGUUUUACAGUAUUAGUAAAAAUAAUGGCCAUUAUAAAUAAGCAUAAAAUGGAAGUUGAUGAAAAAAUAACCCCAAGUCUUCCCUGACUCCCACCCUCCCACCAAAAAACUAGCUAGUAUAUGGCAAAUAUCCUUUUCACACAUUAUCUUUAGGCAUACAUUCACUUUGUAGUGGUGGAUGGUUUAGUCGCUAAGUCGUGUCGGACUCUUGUGAUCCCAUGGACUGUAGCCUGCCAGGCUCCUCUGUCCAUGGGGUUUUCCAGGCAAGAUUACUGGAGUGGGUUGCCAUUUCCUUCUCCAUGAAUGUUCAGUUUUAUCAGAUCACUAGAGCGCUUUGAUUAGGACACUCCUGGGCAAUCCCAGAACCUCAGGCCACCAGGGGUCAUUUGAACCCAUUAUUUGAUGAAUUGAUAUCCACACAAUUUACAUAAUCAAGGCUAUAAAGAUGAGGAGCAAAGAACUUGCUGUGUAAGGUAGCCAUAACAUCAGGGCAGCGUUGUUCACUCUGCCUAAAAUAAAACAUGUUAGUAUCUAAUAUUAAAAGUGAUGAAGAUUUAUGUGUCUUGAGCUCCUAAUAUGUACCAAAAAUAUUAGAUGUGCAUCAUUCACAUGAUUGUGUUUCAUCAUCAUCUUGAGACAAGGUCCAUGUUUCUGCCGUCUUCUUCAGAACAGUACAGAUAAACAGAUAUCUGCAAACAACUGUAAGAGGGACUGGAGGGGCAGUCUCUAGGUGUCUUGUUAUUGAAUCCUGAAACAAAUGCUUAUUGAAGCAGAUGCUGGUAAUGCUGUUUUAGAACUCUCUACCAUUUUCAUGCACCUCAGCUCCUCUGUGCUUUUGUUCCCAAUAGCCAGAGUCUGUGGCUCUUUCUCAUAGGACUGCCCACAGGCUAUCAGAAACCCCUUCAUCUGUAAGCAUGAAGACUUAGUACCUUGUAAUUUAAACUAAUGAUUGAUGGAUAUGGGAUUCUCUGGGAGACUUUGGUUGGUAGAAAAUAUUGCUUGACUCUCUUCCCUGCACCCCCUCCACAGUCCACUUCCCCACUUUCCUGUCCAUAUAUUUUUUGGACCACUUCUUGAUAUACAUUACUUUUACAUGAGUCCUUGGCCAGAGUCAGCUUAUAGGGAAACUAAUCCAAAGGCACUGCCAAGUUGUUUUCCAAAAUAAUUCUUAAUUUAUGCUCCUCAAUAUAUGUGUUCCCAUUUCCUCACUAGUACUUGGCAUUGUCAGAGUCUAAGUUUUUGUCAAUUAUAUUGUUCUAAUUUCUUUGUAUCAGUUAAUUUUCUAUAUUGUUAAAUGUGGAUGUUAACUUUUCACAGCAACCACUAAAAGAAUAGAAAUAGAGAAUUUAACUUCUUAACUAAUAGAAGAAAUUAAUGAAAGAAUGCAAAGAGCUUGGAACCUUUUAAUUACAAAUAAUCACCUCUUCUUGUGAUCAGGUUGUGCUAAGACCUCCAAGACAUUGUGAACAAAAAUGGUGCUACUACAUAAUUCUGUCCAGUUUGUGACCUCAGAAGAAAGCAUUUGGGACUACAAACAGGGAUGCUGCUUAUGGUCCAGAAGGUUGUUCAUUUCUGAAGUGCCCCUUACCAAGCUAGUAACUGAGGCUGCACUCCAGCCCCAAGCCAUUUCACCAAGUCAAACAAUGGAACUUACUAUGAGUUGCUUUUUUUUUUUUUUUUUUGAGUUGCUUUUUUUAAGCAGAAAAAUACCAUCUGAUUGCCGCACUGUGCACACAUAAGAUUGCUUUCACCACAAGGGGGCACCUUUUAUUAAUGUAGACAAUGGUGCUAUACAGCUUAAGAGAGUUCCUAGUCAUAACACACUUUUUAUUUUUUUAAAUGCUACGGGCAACAUCUUUAUUGGAAUUGCUUGUUUGUAGGGUAUGUAUGUCAAAUUUUAUAAGGCAUUGCCACAUUCAUCUCCAAUUUUGUUGUACUGUCAAAAGCAGUAUAUGAGGACUUUCCUGGUGGUCCAGUGGUUAAGAAUCUGCCUGCCAAUGCAGGGGACAUGGGUUCUACCCCUGGCCUGGGAAGAUCCCACAUACUGCAGGCCAACUAAGCUCAUGUGCCACAACUACCAAGCCAGCACACUCUAGGGCCCAUGUUCUGCAACAAGAGAAGCCACCGCAAUGAGAAGCCCGCACUCAGCAACCCAGCACAGCCAAAUAAAAUUUAAAAAAAGAAGUAUAUGAGAAUUCUCAUUUCCCCAUGUCACUUCAACACUUGAUAUUGUCAUUAUUUUUACUAUUACCAACAUAAUAGUUUUGAAAUGGGAUCCCAUGUUGUUCUAUUUAAAAUCUCUCUGAUUACUAAUAUGAUUGUGCAUCUCUUUGCAUGUUCCUCACUUGGAAUGGAUUGUUCGUAUAUCUUCUCAGUAUCUUCCAUUUGUUCCUUUAUUACUGCUCUCCUUCACCCUACUCUGUGCCCAGGAAGCUGACCAUUAUGGACUGCAUAAAUAUCUCCCUUGCCUUCUGGAUUCUUGUUGAGUUUGGCCACUGGGAAGGCUCCAUCUCUACCAGACUAAAAGAUGGCUGUGGCUGAGUUCUUCUACCAAAGGCCACAAAUUCUGUCCAGGUUACUGUGUUCCAGUAACUAUUCCCUGCUGUUACUACCCCUUCUUCCCUGGUGGUUCAGAUAGUAAAGAAUCUGCCUGCAAUGCAGGAGACCUGGGUUCCAUCCCUGGGUCAGAAAGAUCCCCUGGAGAAGGAAAUGGCAACCCACUCCAGUAUUGUUGCUUGAAGAAGUCCAUGGACAGAGGAGCCUGAUGAGCUUGCUACAGUCCAUGGGAUCACAAAGAGUUGGACAGGACUGAGUGACUAACACUACCCCUUCAUGCUUUGGGGGGAGGUAACAGCUCCCCACUAUUGCUAGCCUCAGGGUAUUUCAAAAUCUCUUGUUGGUGUCAGUAAUAGUUAGCUAUUGCUACAAUAAUGCUGUAUAAGAUACCUCCCCAAAACUUAGGACAGUCACCUGUUCUCCUUGCUCAUGUGCUAUGGGUUAUUUGGGGGCUAUUCUGCUUCAAGAUGCAGUUUGGAUGGGCUUGGCUCUAGGAUGCAAACUGUGUUCAGAUCUGCUCCAUGUGAAUUACUAUGCAGCUCAAACACUGGGAUCAGCAGCUACCUGGGGCAAGCUCUUCUCAAGACAAUCAUAUGAGUGCAAGAAGACUAGCAAAACCACACAAGUAUAUUGAAAUCCUCUAGGCACUUCAUGUCUGCUCAUAUCUCACUGAUGAAAGCAAGUGCAUGGCCAAGACUAAAUUCAGAGGAACAGGUGUGUAUACUCCAUCCUAAAGGUGGCGGGGGCGGGGGGGGAGUGGGUAGUGAGGAGUGAGUAUCUGUAAAAAAUUUAUCCAAUGUAUUACAAUUUCUUUUAACCACACUGAAACCCUUUUACACAGUCUCUUCAUUUAAUUUUUCCUCACUGCUACAUUUGUGUGUAGCAUCUACUUCUUGUCAGGACCCCGAUUAAGAUUAUAUCACUCUCACAAGUUUCUAUUGAUUUUCCAGUUUUCAGGGAUACAUAUUAACCCCUCCCAAAGCCUCCUAGAUGAUUCCUUCCCGACACCACCUUGGCCAAAAUCUGCUCCAGAUCUAUUUCCCAUUUUAGUGCAGCUUUUUUCCUUUCCUUUUGUGUAGGAGUCCUCCACAAAAGUCCCUACUCCAUCUAUGGCAUCAACCCUUUCCCACUUCUUGUGAUUCAUACUAACCACCUAGUUCUUCAUGUCUACAUAACAUGUGUGGAUGUGUGUAUUCAUAUGUAAGCCUUUGGGGGGUUAAUGUAUAUUUAACAAAAAAGAGGGUUACAUUAGGCAAUUUUCUACACAUUUUAUCUAGAAACCUUGCAACAGUCUCUCCAAAGCAGCUGGCAUAAAUGUAUCUUAUUCCUUUUAAGUGCUGAAUUAUGUUCCAUCAUACUGAUCCCAUUCCUUUCUUGAUGAAUGAAGUGGAUGAUGUAAUGCACUGCUCAGAUCCCACUUUAUGAUUGAGGCACUCAUGCCCCCAGAUGCUAGGAAUAUAGCUGAAUCACCCUUUAGGAAUUGCUAUGGGUUGAAGGGAGCUGCCUUGCCCAGGGGUACACUACUUCCUCCAGGUAAGACCACAUCCAAUGACCAGUCGGUGUGGAGGCACAAAUACCCUGCCUCAUCUUCUCCAUUCAUAAAUUUUCUGAAUGGCCAUCUUAGCUUUAGAUAUCCCUGUAGGAUAAGCUGAGGCCUCUAUUGCAACUGUGCAUGCUCAGUCGUGUCCCACUCUUUGCGACCCCAUGGACUGUAGCCCAGCAGGCUCCUCUGUGCAUGAGAUUUUCUAGGCAAGAAUACUAGAGUGAAUUGCCAUGCCCUCCUCCAGGGGAUCUUCUCGAGCCAGGGGUCAAAUUUGUGUCUCCUGCAUUUCUGGCAGAUUCUUUACCACUGUGUCACUGGGGAAACCCUUGGAACUGUAUAGCUCUUCAAAUUCUCCCUUUAUGCAAACCUUCAUUCUCUUACAAGUGCUUUUGAGAUGUUUCUGGGGGAACUUACAAGUAUAAUACUUAGUUGGCCAAAAAGUUCAUUUGGGUUUUUCUGUAACAUCUUAGGGAAACUCAAACUUUUUGGCCUAUCUAAUAUUUGGUUCUAGAAGCGGUCCUAAGAAGCAGAUUAUGAAAUAGGAUUUUGGAGCACAAGUACCUGCGAGCUGGCUAGAAAUGGGGACUAUAUCACUGGUGGUAAGUGAUGUGCUGAUAACCCUUGUGAUGUGGUCAUGGUGCAAUGGUCAAAAAUUUCGCUAGUGGUAAACUGAUAUUGGACACUAAUGGAAAUAGAUUUCCUGGAAGGUGCAAUAUCUCCGGAGUUUGAGUCAUCCAGAAUAAGUGGUAAUAAUAUAAAGACUGUGAAAAUAGACAAUUGUACACAAGGCUAUUGAUGAACUGCAGAAAAACAACAAAAGGUGAAAGGUGAUUAAACAGCAAUUUAAGACAAAGUCGAAAGUCAGAUGACUUAGACGCAGAAGGAAGAGAAGUCAAAGGAUUGGCCUGUGAACUUUAGUCUUUUUGUCCUGAAAUCAUGGCCCAUUUUUGCUUUCUACCACAUAUUAAGCCAACGCAUGCAUGAACAAAGCUCAGUCUUUUCUUUAACUCUUUCAUGUAUUCUGGAAAAAUAACUCAAAAUAAAAAUUAGGGAGAGAUGAUUCUAUUGCCUUUUAAUAUCACACAAGUGUUGCCCUAUCAGCCCAUCUGCAAUCAUUGACUAUUAGGAAAUUUAAGUUGCCCAGCCAUAGAUGAAGUAGCAGAGGCUUUUUUCAGCACUCAUGAUUUAAUAGGUUAGCAUAAAGAGAAACAGUAAGGAGUAACGUUUUUUGCUUUUCUUCCCAUUGGAAAAGAUAUAAUUUUAUUUUCCUGCAUGAUCUCAACCAGGUUUCCACCUACAUUUAACAAGAGCAGCUCUGCACUCCCUUCUCCUCCGCUUAACAAUCAAAGCUCUAUGAAUGUAAAUGCUUUCUCUGAACCAGCUCUCAUUCUGCUAGCUUCCUCAGUAAUAGAUUAAAUAAAACUUUGACGGAUGUUC